rnacentral:rRNA from 1 species
CAGUCGCCACGGUAAUACGAACCGUGCGAACGUUAUUCGGAAUUACUGGGCUUAAAGCGCGUGUAGGCGGGCCGCCACGUCGGUUGCUGAAAUCCCCCGGCUCAACCGGGGAAGUGGCACCGAUACGAGCGGCCUUGAGGGGGGUAGGGGGAUCUGGAACUUCCGGUGGAGCGGUGAAAUGCGUUGAGAUCGGAAGGAACGCCCGUGGCGAAAGCGAGGUCCUGACCCUUUCUGAUGCUGAGACGCGAAAGCCAGGGGAGCGAACGGGAUUAGAUACCCCUGUAGUCCCUGUCUCUUAUAC